CCCUCGUCCUCCUCGUCUGCUCUCUCCAAGCGGUCUCCUCCCAAUGUCACCAGCCACCAAAUAGGAGCGUCAACGACGGAGAUAGUCGCGCAACUGGCGCAGCUCGCCUCCCGCGACCCAGGGUGCGGAGUUGGCGGCCCAGCCGCACACCUCGAAAUGACCCAGACACGCACCCAGACCGUCCGCUCUCGGACAACGACAUCCAGCCUAGGGUGGUGGUAUCACUGCUGCGGUGAGGAGGGGUGACCUGGGGUCGCUCAGCUGAGGCCAAGCAGGAGAAACCUCCCAGAAAAAUUCCAGCGGGAGGAGGCGCCCCAGACCUGAGCCAAGGACUGUCCCCAAGCCCACGCCUGGGGGUUGAAGAAACUUUUAAGCAGGACCAAAUCACUCAUAUGUGAGCCAGUUGUGACCUGGGCCUGAUCCACUCUGCAUCAUUGCAGAUACCAAGCACUGUUACCAGUUGUCCACAUGAAAGAUGCUGCAGCAGGGAAUACACUCUUGAGCACCAACUGAUACUCAGGUCAUGUUCUUUACGUGCCCCAGUGGGAGCCAACUCCUGCUGUUGAUGUGGAGUACCUACAAGAUCAAAACAUC
rnacentral:lncRNA from 1 species